rnacentral:lncRNA from 1 species
AUAGGCCCAAGUUUGAAACAUCACAUAACUUCACAUAAUAUGUAUUACACGAGGACUUUUCAUCAUUAAAAAAAAUACUAAGUACCACGAUAUUAAAUUUGCAGUAUUGAAUCAAAGAUCCCAUUUCAAAGAUAACAAACAUCAUUAAUAACUAAAGUCUACAGGAGCACAAACAAAAACUUAUUGAUUCAACUAGCUGAUAUUUACAAAAUCACGGUUUGGCCCGUAAUUAAAUACAAUAUUCUAAAAUUUUAAAGAAAUGCUUAUUAAUUACAAUCAGAUGGGACAAUUAAAUUUUCCAACCCUGAAGUGUGGAAUCCAAUGUUUCUCAACCAUAUCUGCUUAAAAUAAAACUAUGGACUUAAGCUAUUACACCAAGAUUUCUACAAAUUCUGAGUUUACAAUAAUCAAACAUCCUUUAUACAUACUGGAACUAGGUACUACAAAAUUAAACAACAAAUAUGCUUAUAGACUACAUGAUUCUGAACACAUAAAUUUCACUUUUACCAAGUAAUACUUAAUAAAAAUAAUAGUCCUAUCAAUGCAGUAAAAUAUGCUUAUGCUUCAGGAAACCAAAUUGAAACAACAAUCUUAUUCUAGCUAGCAUUUUUAUCUUGAAAAAAAGACUAUGUCAAAGAGAUAACUUCAAAUAUGGAUCCAUCAACUUACAAACAAACAUGAAAUCAUGUAAGAGCAAUCAAACAGUCAUAACUUCAUAUUAAAAUAGAAAACUUUGAUUAUUCUAAAGAUCAGAGUUGUACAGAAUCAUAGAGGUGUACAGAAAAAUAACAGAAAACCAAAAAUAAGUCUCUAAAUUAGCAGGAAUAUCAGCAAGGUAACAGCAGGGAAUCUCUAGGAAUUUUUGUUAGAUGAAAAUAAGGAGACAAGCAUCUAUUUUUAAAAGAAAUGGACAGCUGUCCCUAUUUCUAGAAGAUUCUUUUAUUCCCAGACACUUUUAAACUUUUUAACAUCCAAUUCGUACCCCAAAAAUUCAACUUAUUUCCCAUUUUAGUGUAUUUCCAACCAAACAAAACAAAUUCCUCCAUUUUUCUAUUUCUUUUAGACCCCUGAAUUUCAAUAACUACAAACGACUACCACAUAAACUGGAGAUGCUAAUGAAAAAGAUGAAGUAAUUCAAAUAAUAAAAAUCCUAAUUCCAAUAUAUUAAUUCAACUAAUACUAAUCAUGCAAAACAUAUAAUUAAAUAGGUAAUAUGCCAAAUAUCUAACAAAAUUAAGAGACAAGAGGGCGCAAAACAAGAAAAUAAUGAAAUUAACAAAGAAAUAGAUAAAAAGAAACAUUGAAAUUUUUUUACCAAUCAAGUGCUAGCCAAGAAGGACCGGUGAUUGACCAAGCUCCGGCAGAAGGAAUCCGAUCGGCGUUAAUAUUGUCAUAUGAAUACUAAUUUAAUACUUGAAAGAACAUUUAGUGAUAUAUGACAACGCUGAGCGCUGGCCAGCCGAGCGAGUGAAAUGUGACGGAAAACAUUUGUUCUCGAAGACCUCAUGAACUAAAAAAUAUGAAAAGAUAGUUCGUAGAUGUUCAAGGCAGCAGGCUUUGGUAUUGAAGCUAAACAAACGAAGAUUUGAAGAAAAACCAGUGAAUUCGCUGAGCGCUGGCCAGCCGAGCGAGUGAAAUGUGACGGAAAACAUUUGUUCUCGAAGACCUCAUGAACUAAAAAAUAUGAAAAGGUAGUUCGUAGAUGUUCAAGGCAGCAGGCUUUGGUAUUGAAGCUAAACAAACGAAGAUUUGAAGAAUAACCAGAAAAAGAAGAGACUAAAGGUUUUCUUGAUUUCCUCAUAUCUGAGAUUCAAGGCGUUUGGAUGGUCUUAUGGGGGAAGCCGAUGAUGGAUUAAGGUUUAGGAAAAUAUGGGGACUGUGGUAUAAUUCUGGUAGGCGGCAGACGGCGGUGAGAGACAGUGGUGAGAGAGAGACGAGUUCUGUGAGGUCUUUUUAGGGUUAGGGGGGUCUGUCUUCAGACAUUUAUAAGGUAAUAGGGGUUCUGGCGGUUCCACCCAUUAGAACCGUGGAACC